GAUGAACGCUGGCGGCGUGCCUAAUACAUGCAAGUCGAGCGAACGGACGAGAAGCUUGCUUCUCUGAUGUUAGCGGCGGACGGGUGAGUAACACGUGGAUAACCUACCUAUAAGACUGGGAUAACUUCGGGAAACCGGAGCUAAUACCGGAUAAUAUUUUGAACCGCAUGGUUCAAAAGUGAAAGACGGUCUUGCUGUCACUUAUAGAUGGAUCCGCGCUGCAUUAGCUAGUUGGUAAGGUAACGGCUUACCAAGGCAACGAUGCAUAGCCGACCUGAGAGGGUGAUCGGCCACACUGGAACUGAGACACGGUCCAGACUCCUACGGGAGGCAGCAGUAGGGAAUCUUCCGCAAUGGGCGAAAGCCUGACGGAGCAACGCCGCGUGAGUGAUGAAGGUCUUCGGAUCGUAAAACUCUGUUAUUAGGGAAGAACAUAUGUGUAAGUAACUGUGCACAUCUUGACGGUACCUAAUCAGAAAGCCACGGCUAACUACGUGCCAGCAGCCGCGGUAAUACGUAGGUGGCAAGCGUUAUCCGGAAUUAUUGGGCGUAAAGCGCGCGUAGGCGGUUUUUUAAGUCUGAUGUGAAAGCCCACGGCUCAACCGUGGAGGGUCAUUGGAAACUGGAAAACUUGAGUGCAGAAGAGGAAAGUGGAAUUCCAUGUGUAGCGGUGAAAUGCGCAGAGAUAUGGAGGAACACCAGUGGCGAAGGCGACUUUCUGGUCUGUAACUGACGCUGAUGUGCGAAAGCGUGGGGAUCAAACAGGAUUAGAUACCCUGGUAGUCCACGCCGUAAACGAUGAGUGCUAAGUGUUAGGGGGUUUCCGCCCCUUAGUGCUGCAGCUAACGCAUUAAGCACUCCGCCUGGGGAGUACGACCGCAAGGUUGAAACUCAAAGGAAUUGACGGGGACCCGCACAAGCGGUGGAGCAUGUGGUUUAAUUCGAAGCAACGCGAAGAACCUUACCAAAUCUUGACAUCCUUUGACAACUCUAGAGAUAGAGCCUACCCCUUCGGAGGACAAAGUGACAGGUGGUGCAUGGUUGUCGUCAGCUCGUGUCGUGAGAUGUUGGGUUAAGUCCCGCAACGAGCGCAACCCUUAAGCUUAGUUGCCAUCAUUAAGUUGGGCACUCUAAGUUGACUGCCGGUGACAAACCGGAGGAAGGUGGGGAUGACGUCAAAUCAUCAUGCCCCUUAUGAUUUGGGCUACACACGUGCUACAAUGGACAAUACAAAGGGCAGCGAAACCGCGAGGUCAAGCAAAUCCCAUAAAGUUGUUCUCAGUUCGGAUUGUAGUCUGCAACUCGACUACAUGAAGCUGGAAUCGCUAGUAAUCGUAGAUCAGCAUGCUACGGUGAAUACGUUCCCGGGUCU
rnacentral:rRNA from 1 species